UGGGGUGUAGCUCCAUGGUAGAAUGUUUGCCUGUCAUGCAUAAAGCCCUAGGUUAGAUUCCCAGCAUUGUAA
rnacentral:tRNA from 1 species